GAUGAACGCUGACAGAAUGCUUAACACAUGCAAGUCUACUUGAUUCUACUUCGGUAGUUGAUGGUGGCGGACGGGUGAGUAACGCGUAAAGAAUCUGCCCUUUAGUUCGGGAUAACCUUUGGAAACGAAGGAUAAUACCGGAUAUUAUGGAGACGUCGCAUGACGAUUUCAUGAAAGCUAUAUACGCUAGAGAGGACUUUGCGUCCAAUUAGUUAGUUGGUGAGGUAAUGGCUCACCAAGACCGCGAUGGGUAGCCGGCCUGAGAGGGUGAUCGGCCACAAGGGAACUGAGACACGGUCCUUACUCCUACGGGAGGCAGCAGUGGGGAAUAUUGGACAAUGGGCCACAAGCCUGAUCCAGCAAUUCUGUGUGCACGAUGAAGGUCUUCGGAUUGUAAAGUGCUUUCAGUAGGGAAGAAAAAAAUGACGGUACCUACAGAAGAAGCGACGGCUAAAUAUGUGCCAGCAGCCGCGGUAA
rnacentral:rRNA from 1 species